rnacentral:rRNA from 1 species
UACGUAGGUGGCGAGCAUUAUUCGGAAUUACUGGGCGUAAAGGGUCCGCAGGUGGUUUACUAAGUCAGAUGUGAAAUUUCAGUGCUUAACACUGAACCUGCAUUUGAAACUGGUAGACUAGAGUAUGUGAGAGGUAAGCGGAAUUUGUGGUGUAGCGGUGGAAUGCGUAGAUAUCACAAGGAAGACCAAAGGCGAAGGCAGCUUACUGGCACAAUACUGACACUCAUGGACGAAGGCUAAGGUAGCGAAAAGG